rnacentral:rRNA from 1 species
AACGAACGCUGGCGGCAUGCCUAACACAUGCAAGUCGAACGGGACCUUCGGGUCUAGUGGCGCACGGGUGCGUAACGCGUGGGGAUCUGCCCUUAGGUACGGAAUAACUCAGGGAAACUUGAGCUAAUACCGUAUAAUGACUUCGGUCCAAAGAUUUAUCGCCUAGGGAUGAACCCGCGUAGGAUUAGCUUGUUGGUGAGGUAAAGGCUCACCAAGGCGACGAUCCUUAGCUGGUCUGAGAGGAUGAUCAGCCACACUGGGACUGAGACACGGCCCAGACUCCUACGGGAGGCAGCAGUGGGGAAUAUUGGACAAUGGGCGAAAGCCUGAUCCAGCAAUGCCGCGUGAGUGAUGAAGGCCUUAGGGUUGUAAAGCUCUUUUACCCGGGAUGAUAAUGACAGUACCGGGAGAAUAAGCUCCGGCUAACUCCGUGCCA